rnacentral:tRNA from 1 species
CUUAGUGUGGCAGAUGAAUAUGCGUUGGAUUUAAGCUCCAAAGAUGGGAGGUUUACUUCCCCUCUAAGG